AUUCUCACUGUGUUACCUAGGCUGCAGUGCAGUGGUGCGAUCUCAACUCACUGCAACCUCUACCUCCUGGGUUCAAGCAAUUCUCCUGCCUCAGCCUCCCAAGUAGCUGGGAUUACAGGUGAGGAGACUGGUGUUAAGUAACUCGCCCAUCCAUGACCGCAUCAGUGGUUGAAAUGGGAUUGGAAUCUGGUCUUAAUCACUCUUCCAUAAUGCCUCCAUGGCAAGGGUGGCAGAGAGGAAGAAUUAUGCUGAGGAAGUAGAACUGACUAGAAGUCAUGAACAAUGCUUGGUGAUUAGAUUCUAGAAUGGACGAAUAAGGCUCUGCUUUGCUCCCAAGCUUCUGUGUCAGUAAUGGCUUCAUUCAUCUACACAGGGAACAGAGGAUGGAGAGGUGAUGUCUUCAGGCUAGGGCAUGUACAGGGUGACCAAAUCUGACCUUGUAUUGUGCAAACUCAGGACUUUCGUAGAGGAAAGGAGUCACCAUCCAGAGGGAUGCCAGAUAAAAAUGUACAAUGGGACUAAGCCAGGCAAACAGUGGCACAUGUUCACGUUAGACAUGUGGAAUCUGAUAUUUCUGUAAGAAAUACAGAAGAACAUGGGAAAAAUGGCAACAGAGGCCUAAAACUCUGCAGAAAUGGCUGAUCUUAUAAUUUGUGAACUGUUAUUUAUGGUUGUUGGUGGAGCCCAUGGUAGUGAAGGAGAUGGCUCAGGGAGACAACAUUAAAGGCGAUAAGGAGAAAAACUAAUGAUCAAAUUCUAGUGAAUGAAAGGGAAGUAAGGAUAGUAAGUAUAAUAAUAGAGUUUCAAAUUAACAUUUAAUUUUAAAAUUAAUUAUAUGCUACUACUGUUUAUUAUUUAACCCUUCCCUUCCAAGUUAAUUUCAUUUACACUAUUCAUGAGGCUACACAGUUUAGUAAAGGGUCCAUUUAAGCAGGAUGAAUUUAACUCACUAAUUUCAGAAUGAAAGCAAAAGCUCUCUGCAUCUAUGCUGAAUUAUUUGACAUAAAUAGCUGUCUUGCUACAGAAAGCAAAUAGAGUACACUCUCCACUAUAAUUAGAAUUAACAUCAGAUACUCCUAGAAUCUUUCUUUGGCAAUAAAAUUCUUUUGCCU
rnacentral:lncRNA from 1 species